UAGGGAAUCUUCCGCAAUGGACGCAAGUCUGACGGAGCAACGCCGCGUGAGUGAAGAAGGAUUUCGGUUCGUAAAACUCUGUUGUUAGAGAAGAACAGCGCAUAGAGUAACUGUUAUGCGUGUGACGGUAUCUAACCAGAAAGCCACGGCUAACUACGUGCCAGCAGCCGCGGUAAUACGUAGGUGGCAAGCGUUGUCCGGAUUUAUUGGGCGUAAAGCGAGCGCAGGCGGUCAAUUAAGUCUGAUGUGAAAGCCCCCGGCUCAACCGGGGAGGGUCAUUGGAAACUGGUUGACUUGAGUGCAGAAGAGGAGAGUGGAAUUCCAUGUGUGGCGGUGAAAUGCGUAGAUAUAUGGAGGAACACCAGUGGCGAAGGCGACUCUCUGGUCUGUAACUGACGCUGAGGCUCGAAAGCGUGGGUAGCAAACAGG
rnacentral:rRNA from 1 species